rnacentral:rRNA from 1 species
UAACACGUGGGUAACCUGCCCUGAUGAUUGGGACAACCCGAGGAAACUCGGGCUAAUACCGAAUGUGCCCUCCGGCCAUAAGGCCGCUGGGGAAAGGAAGCUUCGGCCUCCGCAUCGGGAUGGGCCCGCGGCCCAUUAGCUUGUUGGUGAGGUAACGGCUCACCAAGGCGACGAUGGGUAGCUGGUCUGAGAGGACGAUCAGCCACACUGGGACUGAGACACGGCCCAG